GACGAACGCUGGCGGCGUGCCUAAUACAUGCAAGUUGAGCGCUGAAGGUUGGUACUUGUACCAACUGGAUGAGCAGCGAACGGGUGAGUAACGCGUGGGGAAUCUGCCUUUGAGCGGGGGACAACAUUUGGAAACGAAUGCUAAUACCGCAUAAAAACUUUAAACACAAGUUUUAAGUUUGAAAGAUGCAAUUGCAUCACUCAAAGAUGAUCCCGCGUUGUAUUAGCUAGUUGGUGAGGUAAAGGCUCACCAAGGCGAUGAUACAUAGCCGACCUGAGAGGGUUAUCGGCCACAUUGGGACUGAGACACGGCCCAAACUCCUACGGGAGGCAGCAGUAGGGAAUCUUCGGCAAUGGACGAAAGUCUGACCGAGCAACGCCGCGUGAGUGAAGAAGGUUUUCGGAUCGUAAAACUCUGUUGGUAGAGAAGAACGUUGGUGAGAGUGGAAAGCGCAUCAAGGGACGGUAACUACCCAGAAAGGGACGGCUAACUACGU
rnacentral:rRNA from 1 species